CAGGCUUAACACAUGCAAGUCGAGGGGCAGCAUGGUCUUAGCUUGCUAAGGCCGAUGGCGACCGGCGCACGGGUGAGUAACGCGUAUCCAACCUGCCUUACACUCUUGGACAGCCUUCUGAAAGGGAGAUUAAUACAAGAUGUUAUCAUGAGUAAGCAUUUUCGCAUGAUUAAAGGUUUACCGGUGUAAGAUGGGGAUGCGUUCCAUUAGAUAGUAGGCGGGGUAACGGUCCACCUAGUCUUCGAUGGAUAGGGGUUCUGAGAGGAAGGUCCCCCACAUUGGAACUGAGACACGGUCCAAACUCCUACGGGAGGCAGCAGUGAGGAAUAUUGGUCAAUGGACGAGAGUCUGAACCAGCCAAGUAGCGUGAAGGAUGAAGGUUCUAUGGAUUGUAAACUUCUUUUAUACGGGAAUAAACGAAUCCACGUGUGGAUUUUUGCAUGUACCGUAUGAAUAAGGAUCGGCUAACUCCGUGCCAGCAGCCGCGGUAAUACGGAGGAUCCGAGCGUUAUCCGGAUUUAUUGGGUUUAAAGGGAGCGUAGAUGGGUUGUUAAGUCAGUUGUGAAAGUUUGCGGCUCAACCGUAAAAUUGCAAUUGAUACUGGCAGUCUUGAGUACAGUUGAGGUAGGCGGAAUUCGUGGUGUAGCGGUGAAAUGCUUAGAUAUCACGAAGAACUCCGAUUGCGAAGGCAGCUUACUAACCUGUAACUGACAUUGAUGCUCGAAAGUGUGGGUAUCAAACAGGAUUAGAUACCCUGGUAGUCCACACGGUAAACGAUGAAUACUCGCUGUAGGCGAUAUACAGUCUGCGGCCAAGCGAAAGCAUUAAGUAUUCCACCUGGGGAGUACGCCGGCAACGGUGAAACUCAAAGGAAUUGACGGGGGCCCGCACAAGCGGAGGAACAUGUGGUUUAAUUCGAUGAUACGCGAGGAACCUUACCCGGGCUUAAAUUGCAACCGAAUAUGGCGGAAACGCUAUAGCUAGCAAUAGCGGUUGUGAAGGUGCUGCAUGGUUGUCGUCAGCUCGUGCCGUGAGGUGUCGGCUUAAGUGCCAUAACGAGCGCAACCCUUGCCGAUAGUUACUAACAGGUCAUGCUGAGGACUCUGUCGGGACUGCCAUCGUAAGAUGUGAGGAAGGUGGGGAUGACGUCAAAUCAGCACGGCCCUUACGUCCGGGGCUACACACGUGUUACAAUGGGGGGUACAGAGGGCUGCUACCACGCAAGUGGAUGCCAAUCCCAAAAACCUCUCUCAGUUCGGAUUGAAGUCUGCAACCCGACUUCAUGAAGCUGGAUUCGCUAGUAAUCGCGCAUCAGCCACGGCGCGGUGAAUACGUUCCCGGGCCUUGUACACACCGCCCGUCAAGCCAUGGGAGCCGGGGGUACCUGAAGUGCGUAACCGCAAGGAGCGCCCUAGGGUAAAACUGGUGAC
rnacentral:rRNA from 1 species